rnacentral:rRNA from 1 species
UGGGGAAUAUUGCACAAUGGGGGAAACCCUGAUGCAGCGACGCCGCGUGAGCGAAGAAGGCCUUCGGGUCGUAAAGCUCUUUUAUGAGGGAAGAUAAUGACGGUACCUCAAGAAAAAGCCCCGGCUAAUUACGUGCCAGCAGCCGCGGUAAUACGUAGGGGGCUAGCGUUGUCCGGAAUCACUGGGCGUAAAGGGUUCGCAGGCGGAAUAACAAGUCAGAUGUGAAAGGCAUGGGCUCAACCCAUGUAAGCAUUUGAAACUGUAAUUCUUGAGAAGUGGAGAGGUAAGUGGAAUUCCUAGUGUAGCGGUGAAAUGCGUAGAUAUUAGGAGGAAUACCUGUGGCGAAGGCGACUUACUGGACACAAAUCUGACGCUGAGGAACGAAAGCGUGGGUAGCAAACAGG